rnacentral:misc_RNA from 1 species
AAAAAAAUUGAAUGGGGUGUUCCAAGAUUUGAUUUUUAGGUUAAUGAUGUAAAAAAUAGAAAAAAAAUAGUAUCAAAUUUACCCUUUCUUUAAGCUAUCAGUUUCUUCAUUCUAUAAGAUUUUCUUGAUUUUUGCCUUGCAAUUCUUGAUGGGUUGUUGUGAGGUGGAGGAAAUAUCUAAAAAGGAGAAAAAUGGAUGUUUGGUUAGUAGAGAAGAAAAGGGGUUGCACAAAAUCAAAUCUUUCACUCAAAACUUUGCCAUUUUGGUUGGUUUUAGUAGUGAAAGUAUCUCUUUUCAUGUCUUCUUCUUAUAAGUGACCAAAAAAAAAAAAAGGACAAGAACACUAAAUUUAACUCCUUUUUUAUUUGCAGCUCUGUUUCUCAGUAAAUAUAAACUUAAAAAAGUGAACUUUGAUCCCAAAACAAACAUUGAACUUUAUUAUAGAUUGGAAAAUUUGGAUCAUCAAAAUCAUAAUUAUGAAAAGACUUGGUAGCUCUGAUUCUUUGGGUGCUUUGAUGUCCAUGUGUCCAAGUACUACAGAUGACCAGAACCAUGGGAACAGCCAUGUGUAUUCAACAAGAGACUUUCAGUCUAUGUUAGAGUUAGGCUUAGAUGAAGAAGGAUGUGUGGAAGAAUCUGGCCAGAAGAAAAGGAGACUAAGUGUUGAACAAGUGAAAGCUUUGGAGAAGAAUUUUGAAGUUGAGAACAAACUUGAACCUGAAAGGAAAGUGAAAUUGGCUCAAGAACUUGGGCUGCAGCCUAGACAAGUAGCUGUUUGGUUCCAAAACCGACGUGCUCGAUGGAAAACAAAGCAACUUGAGAGAGAUUACAAUGUUCUUAAAGCCAAUUUUGAUUCACUCAAACACAACUAUGAAUCUCUCAAACAUGACAAUGAAGCUCUUGCCAAAGAGAUUCGUGAGCUGAAAUUUAAGGUAUAUGGUGGUGAGAAUGGAGAAAGCAGAGGAGCUGUUGUUGUUUCAGUGAAAGAAGAAGCUAUGGAAUCUGACAAUGAUGACAAAAUGAUUGAACAAAACAACCCAAAUGAUCUUCUUGAAGAAGAUGAUGAAGAUCAAGAUGAUGAUGUCGAGAUCAACGCCACUAUAGCAUCCACCAUUUUUGCUGAUUUUAACAAAGAUGGUUCCUCAGAUAGUGACAAUUCAAGUGCAAUCUUGAAUGAAGAUAACAGUCCAAAUGCUGCUGCAAUUUCAUCAUCUGGUGCAUUCUUGAUCUCUAAUGAUGGUGGGGUUGGUUGUUCAUCUCCGAAUUCGUUGAAUUUCACCUUCAAGUUCACAGAAUCAAGUCCAAAAUCAAUUCUUGGAGAUUCCCAAAAGGCUAAUUGUUUUACUUAUCAACCUCCGUCAACAACAACAACAACACAGUAUGUGAAGAUGGAGGAACAUAAUUUCUUCAAUGGCGAAGAAUCUUGCAGCACUCUUUUCUCAGAUGAACAAGCUCCUACACUUCAAUGGUACUGUUCUGAAGAUUGGAACUUUAAAGACUCAAAAUCAUCUUUUUUUGAUCAUGAAUAAAGGAGGUUAUUGUCUCAUGGGAACCAAAUUUUGUAUAGUGGUUUAAGAAAUGGCCUAAUGGGAACAAAGUGAAAAGAUGAUGUUUUUGGAUUUUUCUCAAG